UCCCCAGUGGCUCAGAUGGUAAAGCAUCUGCCUGCAAUGCAGGAGACCCAGGUUCGAUCUCUGGGUCAGGAA
rnacentral:tRNA from 1 species